rnacentral:rRNA from 1 species
GACGUAGGGAGCGAGCGUUGUCCGGAUUCAUUGGGCGUAAAGGGUCCGUAGGCGGCUCAGCAAGUCGGGUGUGAAAUCUCCAGGCUCAACCUGGAGGGCCACUCGAUACUGCUGUGGCUUGAGUCCAGUAGGGGAGCAUGGAAUUCCCGGUGUAGCGGUGAAAUGCGUAGAGAUCCGGAGGAACACCAGCGGCGAAGGCGGCGUCCUGGACUGGUACUGACGCUCAGGAGCGAAAGCGUGGGGAGCGAAUCCGG